AUGAAAGAACAGAACAGGGUACGUAGUGGCAUGGCCUCCGGUCAUGCCGUGGUCUGCUGGGGAGGAAGCAGCAAGAAGAGAGACGCUGGUCGACUGGACAGACUGGUGAGGAGAGCUGGCUCAGUGGUGGGCCCAGAGCUGGACUCUCUGGUGACAGUGGCAGAAAAGAAGGACCCUGGACAAAGUGCGGUCCAUACUGGACAACGCCAACCACCCACUGCACAACACCUUCACCAGGCAGAGGAGUGUGUUCAGUGGCCGACUGCUGUCCCAGUCCAGCUCCACCAACAGACUGAAAAACUCUUUGGUCCCCCUGGCCAUUAGACUGUACAACAGCUCCUAGUCAAGGCAGGGAGGACAAUAGAAUAGGACAAUUUAUUUCUACCUUCAUUUGCAAAUCCAUUUUGCACCGUUCCCGUUUUGCACUGUCGUAAAGCUUUUUUUUUUAUAGUUAUAGUUUAAUAUUUAAUUUAAUUUUGUAUUUUUAUUUUAUGUAGGAUUGAUGUAUGUUUAAUGUAUGUAUGUUUGUAAAUGCUGCUGGAUGCCGAUAAAUAAAGUAUCUACUUCUACUACUACUACUGUAUUACUGGGGAUUGGACUUUGGUUUUACUGGGACAUGUUAGCUUUUAGGUUAGCCUCUACCAAAAGAGACUGUCAGUAGUGUGUUCUUAGUUAGUUAGCUGGCUUGCUAACGAUUAGCCCCUGAUAAGCUCACAUUCAAGUGCCCUGGGCUGACAUUGAGCUGACAUACCUCCCGAUUGUUGGCUUGUACGGACGUGUGACAUUAGCUGGAAGCCGGUGGUUUUUUUUUUUAUUAAGGUCUCACGUAAAUAUUCCAUAACGCAAAAGAUUGGGGGCGGAAAAGUAAAAUAUGCUAAAGUCAUUAAAUAGUGUGAGAAUUGGCCCGGGACCUCGCGCUCGGUCGGAACUUGGCAGUGUGACACCCGCCGGAAGUGAACAGGCGAAGCAUCUGCAGCGGCGCAGCUCUGGAAUCACAGAUCCGCAGUGCAAUCCAGCUGUUAGCUGGAGGACGGUGCUGUGGUUGUGUCGCUGGUAAAAAAAUAAAUAAUAAUAAUUAGAAUCAUAAUA
rnacentral:lncRNA from 1 species